rnacentral:rRNA from 1 species
GAUGAACGCUGGCGGCGUGCUUAAGACAUGCAAGUCGAACGGAGUGUGUAGCAAUACUCACUAAGUGGCGAAUGGGUGAGUAACACGUAGGUGACCUGCCCUGAAGUGCGGAAUAACAGUCCGAAAGGAUUGCUAAUACCGCAUGUGGUCCCGGGCGUUAGAGAACCGGUCAAAGCAGUAAUGCGCUUCAGGAGGGGCCUGCGGUCCAUCAGCUAGUUGGUA